rnacentral:rRNA from 1 species
CAACUUUUAGCAACGGAUCUCUUGGCUCUCGCAUCGAUGAAGAACGCAGCGAAAUGCGAUAAGUAAUGUGAAUUGCAGAAUUCAGUGAAUCAUCGAAUCUUUGAAUGCACCUUGCGCUCCUUGGUAUUCCGAGGAGCAUGCCUGUUUGAGUGUCAUG